rnacentral:lncRNA from 1 species
CACCUCAAGACUUGCUAACUGCGCAAAUAACCUCGCACUUGGCAAGGGUUAAGGUGAAGGUCGUAGUGACGCCGGCGCAUACGGGAGUCGAACGAGAGGCGGUUAGCCGUUACACGCAUACGAGUGAGAGAUUACAGCAAAUCCAACAAAAUGAGCUGGGAUUCUUACGCACAAAAUAUUCGAUUGUACGGGGCCCCCUUGGCCAGCGUUUAUGGGUUUGAUGGUAAUUUGUAUAGCUCAAAUGAUUCCUUGGCACUGGGUGCAACCCAAGCAGAAGCCAAGAAAAUCUGUGAUAUAAUCAGGAACAAGGACGUUAACGUCUUUUCUGAAGGAACGACAAUUGCAGGAAGCAAGUAUGCAGCCCUCAUAUUGGAAGAUGGUUUGCUUGUUUUGAAGGAAAAGACAGAUAACGCAUCAAAACGCUCAGCAUGCUUCACUAUCAGCAACACCAUUUUGGUGGGAGCAGCCAGCAAAGAUGAUUCAGUGAAAGCAGAAAAGCUGCGUGCAUCUGUAGAGGCAGUUCGUGAUUACCUAAUUUCUGUAAAUUGCUAAAUAUCUGUAGACAUGUCUUCAGUUCCUUUGCAUUCCCUUCCUCAUCAUCCACCUGUGAAAUUACCAAGGGGAAAAAAAUGACAUCAAGAUUUCAAGAAAUUUUCUUCGCUACCAAUUCAUUUUCUGAAAUUUACAGAGUUGCAUGGAACUAUGGGAUGAACCCCAUUGAAGGAACAUAAAGAUACCAAAAAAAGGGUUUUAAAAAAAUUUCAGUAAACUGAAUUAUAAGACAAAGAUAAAGAUGAAUAUCAUCUCUCUGAACUUUUAAGAAAUUGAAAAUUACAUUUAAUGCAGAAUGUAAAUGUACAACUUCAUACAUCAUAGGCUUUAUAUUUUCACCUGCUGCAUUUGCGUUCCUCUGUAUGUUUGAACUAGAAAGCUAUACCUAACAUUUCCCUUUCAGUCAUUAUGACAGUGAAAGAGAAGGGUUUAAGGGACCAUUGUUUGCUGUGGCUUAAAAGAAGAAAUAAAAUUCACUUUAAUAUUUACAGAUGUCAGAAAUGGGAUUAGUCAUGGGCACAAUUGGUUCUGAUUAUCUGAUAAAAUAAUGGACCAUUGGAAUUUAUACAAGAAGGGACCAAUUUAGAUUGACAUUUGAAUUGUACAUUUUAACAAAAUGUGUAAGUGCUCAAGAACAUUUCAAGCUUCCUUCUGCAUUUUAAAUAAAGUUUGUUUCAAACGUUGGAGAAGUUAGUGUCAGAAUUUCCCCUUUGACUCUAAUGUUUUCAGAUGGGAAACAAUGCUCAGUUUUUCUGUAGCUCAUGUAACAUAAAUUGAAAAUGAUUGUUAUUUUGUUUUCCAUAGAUACCUGACAGUUUUAAUGCUUUAGAGGAAAAGAGCAAGCACUAGAAAUUAUUAGCCUUUUAACUAAAGCUUGUGCAUCAUAUUCACAAAUUCUAUCUUUUGAUACAGAUAUCUUGGCAUUUUAGUAAACUAAUAUCUUGAAUGUAUUAAUGGUCUGCUUCACAAUUGUUACACAAAAAGUUGAACUUGAAGUGUGUACUGUACUAGACUCAAAAAAGCCACAUCCUAAGACUUGAAGUACUUGCCCUGUUUGCAGGACAAACAUUUCAUGUUUGUGUCUGAUUAUAUAACAUUGUAAUGUCUCUUUUGCUUAGCAGUUUAUAUUGUAUGCUUCUCUGUAUUGUUAUCCUUUUUACACUUGAAUACCAUUUUUGUAUUUGAAAAUAUGCAAAACAAUGUGAUAGACCCUCAACACGACAAAAGCUCACGUCUUUCUUUCACAGUAUGCUUUUCUGAGUAAGAAAUUAUUCGUUUGCAUCAUGAGAGAACAAAUUCCUUGUUGAGUAUUUCAUUAUUUUGUGGGUUCCUGGGGUUUUUUUUUUUUUGGAAUGUCUGUUAAGUAGAAUUUUUUUAACGCAGCAUAUAUCUGCCUGUUUGCAUUUAACCACUGGUGUCUUGACUGGGCAUUGUCGUAGAGCCAAGCACACUGACAGUAGAAGGAAGAUGAACUUUGGAUUUUUCCAGACUCUAUUUCUUGACUACAGUUUUCAUUUAUAUUGCCAAAGCUUAUACCUGCUUAGCUACUAUUAAACCUUUCUGAAAUUUG